CAUCGGUUUGGGAAAGCAAAUCAUUCUCUAUAAGAUUAUCACACCUCAAGACAGUUUUAAGUUGUUUAAAUUUUUAAUGAAAACUUUUACUUCAUAUUAUUUGAUUGCUCAGAACCUGUGGUAUUGAUUCUUCCUUAACCAUUUUUGUAUAGUUUCCUUGAUAUUUUAACUAAAACUCAUCAUUGUAAUAUACAAUCAUUAUCAGACACAAUUAUUGUUCAGGAGGUUUCCCAACUUGCAAAAGAACGUAUUACUUUAUUACAUAAAGAACACAUUUCAUGAGAAGAAGUUAAUUUUCAUUCAUAGUUUUUAUUUUAAGAUAUGUGUUUAAUGCACCUGAAAAUCCAUUAUCACUAUCAUUUCCCAAAAGCGGAGCACGAAGCUCCAUGCCAUGAAAGCGAAUUGACAGUUGUUUGUCAUGUCUGUUAGUAUUAGUACAAUUCAGGCAAUUUUUCGUCUAAUGUAAUAGUAUGUGUGCACUAUUGACGUUUGUUUGUUGAUUUUGAAACCAGUUGAUAAUUUGCAAGCGAUAUGGAUGCUGAAAUUUUUAUUUCACUUCUUCAACAACUACCAGUGUUGUGGAACUAAUUCUGUGAUGCAAGUUUCUGCUCAAAGAGAAGCAAUGGUCACAGGUGCACGAUGUCAUCAUUUAGCAUAUUGCCACGGACUGUGUUAUUAACGGCAACAUCCCUUAUCUGAAAUAAUUAUUGAACGAGUUCGGGGAUGUCAAACAAAUCUUCAAUCGGUUCAUGGAGGGGCGGAUUUCGAGCGGCUUUAUCGAGCUGAAUGAGAAGUUUGACCUGACCGGCGACGCGAUCGACGACGAGACCAAGGCACUCCAGCCAAAACUGUCAGAUAUGUGCUCUGUGGUCUAAAUGUUCCAAUGCCCGACGCCAAAGCAUCGGUUCUGUCAGAACGAAAUUCCAGCUUAUCUGAUUCGGUCAUUCUUUGCCCCGGAUCCGUGUAUUGAUAGCUGUGAUGCGAAUUGGGCUCGAGAAGCUGCCCAUGCCCCAGGAUUACGUGCUCGAGGAAUUGCGGCAUAUGUUGAGCUCGUUCUUCGACGAGGAUCAGCGGAAGCAGCAAUGGAAUAGUGUUUGAACGAAUUAUGUUAUUUUAUUCGUAAUUUGUUUACUGUAUUAAUGAAAUAAAAAAAAAACUCUAGAAUGAAUGGAUGUGUAUACAUUCUCUUGUAGGUAAAUUCCAAAAUAAUCACAGGAAGUGAACACAUUAUACAUAUAAAUAAAUAGUGCCUCUGGCUUGUAACGGAAUGUUAUUAUUAUUGGUUCAUCAAAUUGCACUUUUAUCUAACCGUGUUUCUGAGACUGUUGAAAAAUUA